CUUAAAUGUAAAGUGUUGCUGUUAUCAAACAGGACCAUGGAGAUGUUAAUUUCCUUCUCCUUGAACGAUGAGAUUCAACUAGAUACAGUAAAAACUGAAAUUAUCUGCAAUAGUUCUGUCACAAGAAACUGUAGGCAUGGAUAUUAUCAAGUUACUUAAUAAAAUCUUAUUAAACAACAAUUAUUAAAUAAAUACAUGAACUCCAGAUUUUGUAGCAGCAAUUUGUAACCAUCUCUAUGACCAAGACAGUCUUCUUGGUCUUGAACUGCGUCUUUAACUACAAAUUGAGAAUCUGCUUUUAGGAGCUACCAGACACUUCAUGCUUCUGAAGACAGUGACUAAGCCAGUCAUCCUCCUUGGAAGCAAUACGCUUAUGCAAACUAUCACUGCCUUUGUUAUCCAUAAAAUUCUUGGUUCCUGCAUAGUUUACCUGAUGACCUCUAACAGCCAAGGUGGCUCUGGUGCACCUAUUCUAACAAUGAAUCAAAAAAUGCUUUGAUUUCAUUCACAUCUUCCUGUUCUACUAUUUAAUAUCAUCUUUUCUUUAGCACCAUUAAGUAAUCAACCUUUCAUUUCCAAAAUUUAAGGGGAAGGCUGCUGCUUCCAGCUAAAAGCAGAAGUCCACUUUGCCCAGCCCUGCAAAAAGAAUAUGAAAUGCCCAGCUGAGAAUACGUGGAUUGUAUGUAUUGGUGCCUAUAAAAUAUGAUGAUUGUUUUCUGAUGGAAGAAGAUAAAUGCCGGUUAAAAAAAAAAGUCUUUACGUUGAAACUGCAUCAGAGGACUUCGAAGGGAUUCUAUCUCAGUUUCUCUGCAAUCAUAAAUUGAAGAGUUAUCCUGACUGCUGCUCAAAGACACGGGUGACUGCAAAACACCACUUCAUCCAAACUCCCACUAACAUCCCUCAUAAUAUUUCCUCUCACAGUCCAAUCAGUUAAGAGAGUGCAAAGAGGAAUAUCAAGAUCUCAGCAAGGCAGAGGAGAACGGUCCUAGCAAGUGCUAUUUCCUGGCAUGGAAAACCAAGCCACUGAUGGUUACUCCGAAAAAAAUAAACAUGGGUCAGCCUGCA
rnacentral:lncRNA from 1 species